GGAUCAAUACAUUUCAGUUUAAUUAUUUUCGUUAACGUUUGUGGACGUUAAAGUCUGCGAUUUUUUUAAUACUUUUAACGUUGUUGUGAUCUCAGCGUUCAUAUCGGCUAUUCCUAGGUUGACUUCUAGUCCUGAUCAGAAUAUACAUAUAUCACUGUGGAUGGCAGUACUCGUAAUGGCGAAGCGCGCAAAAGAGCUUGCGAAGACCAUUACUUUAUAAAGCUGAUGGAUUGAAAAUCUGCUAUUAUGGUCCGAUCGUAACGAGUGAUAAACGAAUCGAAAGCAACUUAUGAGCUUCCACACGCUGCACUUCUCGAUGUUUGGGAGAAAAACAGGCGCUCGGAGAUUCUCUAAGAAGCUACAUAUAUGUUUGUAUACAAACACAACUGUACGGCGAGCAAUUUGAUGAAAGUUUAAAUCAGCAAAUAUCAACCGAAAUUGAAUGUAUCAUUGGUUACAUUAAAAAACAUUUGCCAAAAUGCUACCGUAUAAUGGACCAAUUUAAGAAAAACCACUCUUUGUGGCUAGCCGGCAAUAUGAGUUUAAGUUUGGUGCUCAAAAUAUGUCAUCGAAUAACGAGGUCGCUCAAAAAUGAAUUAUGAGGAUGCUGACGUAAAGCUCAAAAGAAAAAAACAGAAAAGCAGAAAAAUAUAACAAUUCAAGUUCUCUUUUCCUCAACGCUGCCACCAUUUCGGCAAGAAAAUCUGUUGGUCAGUUAAAACAGAAAAUUAGCAAAACUGAUUCCAGUCCCAUAUCUUCUGAAAAAGCCUUAUCCUUUUUUAUGGAAACUAAUUUUACUAAACAGCAAUAUCAAAAUAUUAGAAAACUAAAUAAAUUACAGGGCUGCGAUAUCUACCCACCAUAUUCGAAAAUAGUGGAGGAGAAAUUAAAAUGUAGGCCUGAUAAAAUUGUUUGCAGCGAAAAUGAAACUCAAGUCUCCUUACAAAACUUGUUGAACCAUACCGCUUCCCGCAUACUAAUCUACAAGAGGAAGUCUGUGAAACGCUUACGGAUAUAACUCAGUGCUUACUUAUUUUCAGCUACGGUUGGUACAGGUCAUAGCUCAUACAAACAAAUAUGUAACAUAACUGAAUCUCCAACUUUAGAUGACUCUCUUUUUGUGACCUCAAUAAUACCCAUUAAAAUGGUAGAUCAAGCAGAAAGAGUUAUUUGGCUGAAUAAAUCUCCGCAACCCACAAGAUUUUUCGGUCCUCUGAAAAUUUCGUAUAUUAAAAAAUCAACAUCUCUCAUAAUAAACGAAAAAGAAAAUUUACACACUCAAAUUAAAAAUCUAAAUGUCUACAUGCACUCUUAUAAGAACAGCGAAAUUUGAUGGUCACCUAACCCUAAUAGACGGCCAGGUUUUAAAUAUAUUAACAGGAACGAAAUUUUGUCAGUCAUGUCCAAUGUGUGGAGCAAAACCAACUCAAAUUUUUGAAAUAAAUUAUUUCUCUUCCAAAACAUUUGAUAUGAAGCCAAAUCCGGAUUAAUAUGGAAUAAGCCUCCUUCAUGCGUGGAUACGUUGCUUUGCAUUUGUACUUAAAUUAUCAAAUAGAAUCGAUCUAAAAAGUUGCAUGUCAAAGGUGAAGACAAAGACAAACUGGCGGGACGGAAACACCAAAUUCAAAAUGUGACUUUAUGUAGACAAGCCGAGGCAAAAUAGUAUGGGCAACAGUAAGGACGGAAACGCGGCGAGAAGAGCAUUCCCUAAUUCAAAACAAUUUUCUUCGAUUUUAGGAGUAGACCGCCAUUUGAUUCAUCGCCUUUACGUUAUUUUAAUUGCUAUAAAUUGUUAUUGUCCCAUAAAUUCUGAAAUAAAAAACAAAUUAUUUUGUUUUGAUACUUUCACCACA